AAUCUGUGAGGCAGGAAGCCAGCUAGUAGGACUUUCACUUUGUUGGGAGUUCCUAUUUCCUUUUUUUCCUCUUUGCCCAAUAAAUUCAAUUUUUCUCACCCUUCAAAGUGCCUGUGAGCCUAAUCUCUCCUGGCUAUGUGACAAGGACCCCGUUUUUAGCUGAACUAAGGAGAAAGUCCUACAACAUAACUAGAUGAGGUUACGGCAGGCACUAAAUCUGCCCCGAGUGCUUGACUCAGCCUCACUUGAUCCGCUGCAACAGCCUCCCCUCUGGACUGAGAUGGUGAGCAUCAGCCAAGGCAGGACUCGGCACACGGUGCAGUCAGCAGCCUCUCCAGGGACAUGCCAAGGUUUCCAGGAGGCCAGUCUUUGCUGGAAAUUUCUCAGUGACCACUUUUCCCCCUUUCUUUCUUUCUUUUCUUUCUUUCUUUUUUUUUUUUUUUUUUUGAGGUGGAGUCUCACUCUGUUGCCCAGGCUGGAAUGCAGUGGCGUGAUCUCGGCUCACUGCAACCUCCACCUCCCUGGUUCGAGCAAUUCCCCUGCCUCAGCCUCCGGAGUAGCUGGGAUUACAGGCGCACGCCACCACGCACAGCUAAUUUUUUUUUUUUUUUUUUUGUAUUUUUAGUAGAGACAGGGUUUUGCCACGUUGGCCAGACUGGUCUCAAACUCCUGACCUCAGGCUAACUGCCUGCCUCGGCCUCCCAAAGUGCUGGGAUUACAGGCGUGAGCCACCGUGCCUGGCCUUCCCCCUUUCUUUACCUGCCUUCCUGUUGGAUGGAUACAUGGCUAUUUUCUUACUGUUAGAGACACAUUCUCUCUCUCUCUCUCUCUCUCUCUCUCUCUCUCUCUGUCCAUCUCUCCUCUCCCUUUGUCUCUCUCAUUAAAGCAAAUAACAUAGCAGGAGGAAUGGGAAAAGUAGCAAAUCCCAGGCUAGUCUCAUCAUUUCUGGGCUGAAAUGGAACCACUUGUGGUGUGUGGAAUCGUGGCAUCCGGCAUGCCACAUUCCCUGCUCCCUGUUGUCCUGCCCUGUCUGUCUGCUACAAUCACCUGGAGCCCCUCCCUCAACCAAGACAUCAACAACAGAAACAAAACUGCUUCCUCUGACCAGCAGGAAAUUUCCAGGUGAACACACUCUGGCUUAAGUAAUUAGGCAAAGAAUGUGGCUUUGUGCAGUUGUGGAGAGACUCAACUUGCUCUUAGAGUCUUUGUUUCUGUUCAGUCCCUGGAGUGCCCCUGCUUUCACUGCUGUCCUUUGCCACUAGACCGGGCAGAAAUCCGCCUUUUUCCUGCAUUCCUUCCACUGUUGUUGAUUCAGCUCAUUUUACAUACCAAGGCACCUUUCCUGAUUCCAUUCUUUGGCCAAAGACUCCCUCAGAACUUUAAGAACUUUAAGCCACCAAAUGCAGCAGGCACUUUUUUUUUUUUUUUUGAGAUGGAGUCUCGCUCUGUUGUCCUGGCUCACUGCAACCUCCACCUCCUGGGUUCAAGUAAUUCUUCUGCCUCAGCCUCCCAAGUAGCUGGGGCUAUAGGCGAGCGCCACCACACCCGGCUAAUUUUUGUAUUUUUAGUAGAGAUAGGGUUUCACCAUAUUGGCCAGGCUGGUCUCGAACUCCUGACCUCGUGAUCCGCCUGCCUUGGCCUCCCAAAGUGCUGGGAUUACAGGCGUGAGCCACGGCGCCUGGCCAGCAGGCACCUCUUAUGCUUGCUUUGAAAAUAUACUUAUGAGGUUAGUGCCCAUCUUCCUGUCUUAUGAUUCGAAUCCUUUCCUUCUUUCUUCCCUAAUUCCUGUUCUUUUUCUCUCAUGACCCCUGGCUACCCAUUAGCCUUUGGAAAAAUUCUAUUAUGUUUGCCUGUUUGUUUUUUUCUUUUUAAUGUAUAUGUUACCAGAAAGGGGUCCCAAUCCAGACCCCAAGAGAAGGAUCUUGGAUCUCACACAACAAAGAAUUUCAGGCGAAUCCACAGAGUAAAGUGAAAGCAAGUUUGUAAGAAAGUAAAAGAAUAAAAGAAUGGCUACUCCAU
rnacentral:lncRNA from 10 species